rnacentral:rRNA from 2 species
AUUGGUCAAUGGCCUAACGGCCGAACCAGCAAUUUGGGGGAAUGUAUGUAUAUAUAAUAUAUACGCAUCGACUAUGUCGAAUAAAGUUCUAAAUAGAUAAUUGAUAAUGACAAACUUCUAUUUACAUGUCUCGACCAAUUCUUGUGCCAGCAGUCGCGGCAACACAAGUGAGACUAGUGUUAUUCAUCUUUAUUAGGUUUAAAGGGUACCUAGACGGUAUUUUUAGCCCCUAAAGGGUACAGAAUUACUAGAGUUUUAUGUGAGAGGAAAAUAUUAGGACCAUUGGUGUAGAGAUAAAAUUUUUUGAUACUAAUGGGAUGUGUAACGGCGAAGGCAACCCUCUAUGUAUAAACUGACGUUAAGGGACGAAGGCUUGGGGAGCAAAUAGGAUUAGAUACCCUAGUAGUCCAGGCAGAAAAUUAUGUAUGUUAUAGACUAAGUUUGAAAAUUAGUGUAUAAAUGAAAGUGUAAGCAUACCACCUCAAGAGUAAUGCGGCAACGCAGGAACUGAAAUCAUUAGACCGUUUCUGAAACCAGUAGUGAAGUAUGUUAUUUA